rnacentral:rRNA from 1 species
UUGCGAACGGGUGAGUAACGCGUAGGUAACCUGCCUUGUAGCGGGGGAUAACUAUUGGAAACGAUAGCUAAUACCGCAUAACAAUAGGUGACACAUGUCAUUUAUUUGAAAGGGGCACUUGCUCCACUACAAGAUGGACCUGCGUUGUAUUAGCUAGUAGGUGAGGUAACGGCUCACCUAGGCGACGAUACAUAGCCGACCUGAGAGGGUGAUCGGCCACACUGGGACUGAGACACGGCCCAGACUCCUACGGGAGGCAGCAGUAGGGAAUCUUCGGCAAUGGGGGCAACCCUGACCGAGCAACGCCGCGUGAGUGAAGAAGGUUUUCGGAUCGUAAAGCUCUGUUGUAAGUCAAGAACGAGUGUGAGAGUGGAAAGUUCACACUGUGACGGUAGCUUACCAGAAAGGGACGGCUAACUACGUGCCAGCAGCCGCGGUAAUACGUAGGUCCCGAGCGUUGUCCGGAUUUAUUGGGCGUAAAGCGAGCGCAGGCGGUUUGAUAAGUCUGAAGUUAAAGGCUGUGGCUCAACCAUAGUUCGCUUUGGAAACUGUCAAACUUGAGUGCAGAAGGGGAGAGUGGAAUUCCAUGUGUAGCGGUGAAAUGCGUAGAUAUAUGGAGGAAC